rnacentral:lncRNA from 1 species
AUUACAAUGAUUAAAUGAUAUUAGCAAAAAUUGAACAAUGUUUUUCUAUGUAUGUGAGAGAUGAUAAUUCUCAUUCCUCUUUAUUAGUACUUGAUGGAUUAAAUACCUUCAGCGGUUGCCUCCGGAAAACAAAACUGUGCACUGAAACUCAGGGAAAUAUACCAACAGCAAUACCUGCCAGUGACUAUCUCCAAUUCUUCUGAGAUAUUUGGACUCAUAUUUUAUAGGUAAGUGCUCCUUUGCACGCAUGGCUGGCCCUUUGAAUUGCUUUGAAAGAUUCUUCUUUAUCUUUUGUUGUGAUAAAUUCACUAUAAAUUGAAUGUUUCAUGAAAAUGCAUAUACUUCCCUUGAUGCUUGUGAGGAAGGACCUGGAGUUUCCCUGGGGCAUUUGAUUUUCUCUUUCUCACUG